UACGGGGGGGGCAAGCGUUGUUCGGAAUUACUGGGCGUAAAGCGUGCGCAGGCGGUUAUGUAAGACAGGUGCGAAAUCCCCGGGCUUAACCUGGGAACUGCAUUUGUGACUGCAUAGCUAGAGUACGGCAGAGGGGGAUGGAAUUCCGCGUGUAGCAGUGAAAUGCGUAGAUAUGCGGAGGAACACCGAUGGCGAAGGCAAUCCCCUGGGCCUGUACUGACGCUCAUGCACGAAAGCGUGGGGAGCAAACAGG
rnacentral:rRNA from 1 species